GAUGAACGCUGGCGGCGUGCCUAAUACAUGCAAGUCGAGCGAACAGACGAGGAGCUUGCUCCUCUGACGUUAGCGGCGGACGGGUGAGUAACACGUGGAUAACCUACCUAUAAGACUGGGAUAACUUCGGGAAACUGGAGCUAAUACCGGAUAAUAUAUUGAACCGCAUGGUUCAAUAGUGAAAGACGGUUUUGCUGUCACUUAUAGAUGGAUCCGCGCCGCAUUAGCUAGUUGGUAAGGUAACGGCUUACCAAGGCAACGAUGCGUAGCCGACCUGAGAGGGUGAUCGGCCACACUGGAACUGAGACACGGUCCAGACUCCUACGGGAGGUAGCAGUAGGGAAUCUUCCGCAAUGGGCGAAAGCCUGACGGAGCAACGCCGCGUGAGUGAUGAAGGUCUUCGGAUCGUAAAACUCUGUUAUUAGGGAAGAACAAAUGUGUAAGUAACUAUGCACGUCUUGACGGUACCUAAUCAGAAAGCCACGGCUAACUACGU
rnacentral:rRNA from 1 species